ensembl:lncRNA
AAAGCUGCAUGACCAAGGCUGUUUGCUGAACGUGCCCGGUUUUGCUGUGUAAACACAGAUGCUGUAACCAUGCAGUCAGUGGCACCGUGUAUUACCCCUUCAGCACGUCACAAAACGUCCAUCGCGUUGCGGUGAUUGAAAUUCCGUGCUGAGACGUUCCCAGACAAAUGGAAAAUGAACGUGCUCACCCAGAUGGAUAAAAGAGCCUCUGGUAAUGACAGACAAACUGCAUUACAGGACAGGAAUGUCAUGCAUGAUCAGGUGGCUGCGUUGGUAUGGAGAGGCAGCUCAGGUCAUGCAGGCUGCUCCGAUGGGACAUGUGCCUCCAGGAGCAUUUCUGUGCCUCGCCUUGCAGGACCCAGCUAGCCCACCUGCACUGCAGGUCCUGAGGGCUGGUCCUCAGCUGUCAGUGUUCAAAGGGCUCAAGUGUGACUUGCAUGGGAAAUCCUGUUCCACCCCAGGGAUACGGGCAGACAGAGUUUGUCAUUGCCAGGGAGAAAACGUGGCUGCGUGUGAACCACCAGGAGGACAGACGGACGCGUGCACGCCAGUGGCCGGACAGAAAUUUCAAGCAACAGUUCUUGGAAACCAUAUGGGGAUCAGCCUGGGAGUUCUGCAAGGACUGGGGAACAGCUUUGACCCAAGGCUUUCUCAUGGUGCAUCACAGUUUUCUAAGCUUGCCUGGAGUAAGAAGACACUGGACAGUAAAGGAAACGAAUCCUUAUAUGUUGUCUGAGCCCAGCAGGGAAACAGAAAUGCCUUCCAAAAAGAGAAACGAAAGAAAAAUGUUGGCCUGUCAUUGGUGAAUUCAUAUGUCAUCGACAACAUGAAUUCUUCUGAACUUGGAAAGCUUUCAUUUGAAGCAGAUGACCUUUCAUUUCAACAUACCUGCAGGAAGCUCUGGAAAGUCUGGGUCUGCCAUGUGCAAAACUACUUACUAGUGACAGCAAAAGCAAUUUUAGAAGAGAGACAGAAUGGGGAAGUGCUGCUGGGAAAAAUGGAAGGCUUCAGGAUGUUUUCUGAGAUUCUUGUAGUAAAUGGAAACCAAUGGAUUCCUUUGAACACUUCCACUGAACAGAAAGUGUGACCAGUUCCACCUGAGUAAUACCUGGGUCAUCCUCCACAUUAGAUGUGCACACAUAUAUUUAAAAUAAAAAAGUUACAGAACUACUCAGCACCAGAAGAAAGCAUAUGGCUGCACUAGAGGAAUUUUGGAUGUCUACCAAUGUUGCUUUUCAGGAAUACCUGUUGUUCAGCAAGGAGACAGGCACCAAGUAGCUCAGCUCCAUCUGAUGUGAUAGCUGUACCCUAUCCAGUCAUCACUUGAAACCCACCAGUGGCCAGGCCUGGAACUGGGCUUAUUAAGCCCAUUUUCAUCAAGGAGCUGUGGAUCAAACCAAAUGUGGUAGACUGCAUGAAAUCAGAUUUCUGUUGCUGAAGCCAAGGACUUUCAUAGGUGUUUCCUGAAGCAGUCUGCCUGAAAGCUAAUUUUCAACUCCAUCCUUUCAUGUGCUUUACGGGAGAUUAAGAUGAAAUUAGUGCAGGAAGGAUACUGCUCAAGAUCAUUUUAAGAUUUUCCAAGGCUCACCAGCUUGUUGACCUGUAAACCACCUUUAGCUGGACAGAUGACCCAAAGAGUGCAAACAUGCUCCAAGAAGAGAGAAGGGGAUGAGGAGAGAAGCCAAGCCACCAGCCCUGCGUCUGACUGUUGGAUUGGGAUUCAGGGCAGGAGUUAGGAUGCUUCACAUCCCAACAGCUGCACUCUGUCUUCAGGAUCUGAGAAACUGGACAAGACAACUGAAAAGGAAUCCAGUUGUUUAAGCUUCGGCUGCAAUUGUGUUUAUAUUUGUUUUGCUUGUAACCUUUUGUUUUCAGCCUUGCAACUAAAAGCCUGACCUUGUCUUGCUUAAUAAACCUUGUGCAGAAGCUUUA